rnacentral:lncRNA from 1 species
AGGUAAUGGAAAAAUGUUAAAGUCUAGUUAAGUAAAAGAUUCUAUGAGACAGUAACAAUCUGUGAUAGUUUGGUUUUUAUCCUUCCGUUUUGAUAUUAGCAAAACUCCAAAAAAAUGUAAUUCUUAUUUGCAAUUAAAUUUUGAUAUCUAUUCUGUGGUUCAGUUGGUCCCUAGUUGUAUGCACAACUGAAAAAUUUGGGCAUGCCUGCAGGAUGAGUGGGAUGGAUCCUCUGGGAAGAACUAAGGACUUCUUGGGAAAGACUCAUUCUAAGGGAACAGGAAACCAGGGAGAUAAGAUUAGCUCAAUAAUCUAGCCUGUGGAGUGGUGGGAUAGUUUAUUUCUUUUAUAUUUGACCCUAAGCCAGUCUUCAGUGGACUCAAGUGUGCUCUGGGAAGAGGGGGACACUAGGUUUAAAUGGAACAAGCUAUUUAAUUAAGUCUCUUGAUUUGAUAAGCAGGCCCGCUUGCAUACCACGUGACUCAGUGUCGUGCAAGGCAUGGCAGGCUCUGGUGUAUGGAUGACUCCAGAGCACAUGGAGCUACUUGGAGCAUCUCAUUGGCUCCAGCAACACUGCGCAGUGUAGACCCUUGGGGUGAUGGNAAUAGUGAUGUCGACUAUCAGCAACAGUGCUGGGCAGAGACAGAGGGCCUGGUGAGGUUGGUGGCUCAGUGGUGCCCAAGAGGGGCACUAAAUAGGAGCUAAAUAGGAGGGGGCAAUAGCUGGUGACCCAGUCAUGGGUCUCAGAGCAGGACCCACCUCAAGUAGCUUCCCAAACAGUGGAUGACCCCGGAUGAGCCAUGCAAGAGAUUACAAAGUUGAAGAUGUGAUUACUGAGAAUCUGGGAACAUGUGAGAAGUCUUUGAAGACAUAAGGAAAAUAAUGAUUGUGUGUAACUUUCAGGUGGAAGGCUCAGUUUUUCUUUUCUUGUUUUACUAUUGGAGUAUAACUGUUUUACAAUGUUGUGUUGUUUCGGCUAUACAGCAAAGUGAACCAGCUAUGUUGUUGUUCAGUUGCUAAGUUGUGUCCGACUCUUUGGGACCCCAGGCAGCACACUAGGCCCCCCUGUCCUCCACUAUCUCCUGGGGUUUGCUCACGUCCAUGUCCUUUAAGGCAGUGAUACCAUGCAACCAUCUCAACCUCUGUCAUCCCUUUCUCCUCCUGCCUUCAAUCUUUCCCAGNNUCAGGGUCUUUUCCAAUGAGUCAGCUCUUUGCAUCAGGUGUUCAAAGUAUCUUCAGCUUUCACGUCAGUCCUUCCAAUGAAUAUUCAGGGUUGAUCUCCUUCAGGAGAUCAAGCUGACUGUAUACAUGUAUCCCCUCCCUCUUGGACCUCCCCGCCUCUGCUCCAUCCCACGCCUCUAGCUCAUCACAGAGCACCGAGCUGAGCUCCCUGGGCUUUAUAGCAGGUUCCCACUAGCCAUCUAUUUCACAUAUGGCAGUGUGCAUAGGUCAGUCUUCAUCUCCCAGUUCCUCCCACCCUCCCCUUCCCCACCUUGUGACCACAUGUCCACUCUAUGUCUGCAUCCCUGUUCUAGAGAGUUGAGUUUAAAGACUAAAGUUGAAAUUCAAAAAAGUGAAGCUGCAAUGGCCUGAUGAAGGAAACAGGAGAAUUUCAUACAUAUUUUUGUCCUCUGUAAUUGCUUAAGGUUAUUCUCAGCUUAAUCAAAAUCCACAGCUGUUUUUUAUGCUGCCCAGUUCAUGAUGAUAUUUUCGCACCUGCAUAUGAGCAGAUGGUUUUCAUUUAGUAGUUAAGUGUCUGUCUCCAUUUUUGUGUUUCUGAAGUCCUUCAUCACAAUAGCAAGAAAUCUUUUCUCUCUUUUUUUCUGUCCCCUGAGAAGUUUUAAUCACCACUGAAAGAUUCCUAAAGGACCCAGUCUGAUAGUACUUGACUAUUAACAUAAUUGUUAANNNNNNNNNNNNNNNNNNNNNNNNNNNNNNNNNNNNNNNNNNNNNNNNNNNNNNNNNNNNNNNNNNNNNNNNNNNNNNNNNNNNNNNNNNNNNNNNNNNAUAGUACUUGACUAUUAACAUAAUUGUUAAAUUCGUUACUAAGAUGCAAGACCCAUGUCUGAGUCCCAGUCUAAAAAGUUACCCGUAGAUACAUAAAUCCAGUGAUUUGAUUCAAAAUUGGUAAAUUCUAAAUCGAAGGACAUUAAAAGUUGAAAUUCAAUGCCUGUCAUUUUCUUCUGCCUUCAAUCUUUUGUGCUGACUUCCCUAUCAGAUGCCAGAUUAUCAAAGGACAUUAAAAAGGCCUACAGGAUAUUUCUAAUCACUGAUGUGACUGAAUAUCACCAGAAACAAGUGCUACUACCUUCAAUAUGAUUUAUACCAAUCCGGCUCUCAGGUGGUGGAGCAUGUAUUGAAAAUCCUUCUUCUCCCAGGAUGAAGUACUGUAGAGAAUUGAUGAGUCUGACAGACUUGACUUCAAGUCCUAGCUGCUUGCUAGCUGUGUGACCUUGAGGGAGUUACUUAACCUCUCUGUGUCUUCAGGUCCUCAUCUGUCAAAUGAAGAUGUUAAUAAUAAUGGGUUGCCCUGAAAUGUAGCUCAAGGUUUUCCAUAAGAUGGUGCAGAAAAACCCAAAAGAACUUUUCGGCCAACCUGAUACCUACCUCAUAAGGUAAUUCUGAGGAAGAGAUGAUGUCUGCAUAAUGCUUUGUCUAAUGCAUGACUGGAAUAGGAGCAAUAAAUUAAUAAUAAUAAUAAACUGCGGUGGAUUUAUUUGGGGAAUAAAUGAAUGGUGAAGCCACCAAUAAGGAAGCUGGGUGCUGCUGGAAGUGUCAUGGGGCCUUCUGCAGUAGAGAUUAGAACGCCCUCUCUUUUCACAAAAACUGCUAAUAAACCCUCUGAAGGAUGAUGGCUUUCAGGCAGAGGGAUAAAACACAUCCUUUCAGUUAAGCUCUACAAACACAGCAGCUGCUCACAUCCGUCCCUGGAGGCCUGGGUUGUUGUCUUUUCUCAGACAGAGCCCUCAUUGAGUUUGGGGGAAUCUGGGUGGCCCUGUACUAGCAGUGUGAGCUGCUCUCAUCCUGAUCCCAUUUUGGGCUAGACACACAACGCAAUCUGUCAAACAUUCGGUGUUUGGAUCUCUUGUCCAAGCGAGGUGCAGCUGGACUUCACAUUUCUGUGCAUUUGACUCACAGGAUGUGUCUUGCUCACCAGGACUGAAGUUUAUGCUCAGGCCAUCUCAGGGGUGAGGUCAUUUUGCUGUUCUUCGCCAAAGCCCGCCCUCCUCUCAAUCUGUCUGAUGCGUUUUUGGCUGUACUGUCUAGUUCCCAGAGCAAGCUGUUUUAGACUGAGAAGUCCUGUUUGCGUAAUAAUUCAAUCCUGUUCUGGAAAUGUGCUCCAGUGCUUGUGUUUUCUUCUUGGUUUUGAGCAAGGGCAUUUGUAUUUUUGUCAAUAAUUCAGUCGUGGAAGAGCACUGGGGUUGCUAGAGAGAUGUCACGUGGGUUGGUUGUACACAUGAGCAUUGGCAGUGCUACAACUGAGGCUCCAUCUCUAGCAAAUGAUGAGAGAGCCUGAUCAGGACUGAUCAGA